UAAAUACUCCCUCCGUUUUGAAAUAUUUGUCAAAGAAAUGAAUGUAUUUAGAUAUAUAUUUUAGUUCUAGAUACAUCCACCUUUAUCCAUUUCUGUGACAAGUAAUCCAGACGGAGGGAGUAGAUG
rfam:Triticum urartu cultivar G1812 contig771716, whole genome shotgun sequence.